rnacentral:rRNA from 1 species
AGAGUUUGAUCCUGGCUCAGGACGAACGCUGGCGGCGUGCCUAACACAUGCAAGUCGAGCGAUGAAAUCCCUUCGGGGAUGGAUUAGCGGCGGACGGGUGAGUAACACGUGGGUAACCUGCCUCAAAGAGGGGGAUAGCCUCCCGAAAGGGAGAUUAAUACCGCAUAACAUUAGUUUUUCGCAUGGAGAACUAAUUAAAGGAGUAAUCCGCUUUGAGAUGGACCCGCGGCGCAUUAGCUAGUUGGUGAGGUAAAGGCUCAUCAAGGCGACGAUGCGUAGCCGACCUGAGAGGGUGAUCGGCCACAUUGGAACUGAGACACGGUCCAGACUCCUACGGGAGGCAGCAGUGGGGAAUAUUGCACAAUGGGCGAAAGCCUGAUGCAGCAACGCCGCGUGAGUGAUGAAGGCCUUCGGGUUGUAAAGCUCUGUCUUUGGGGACGAUAAUGACGGUACCCAAGGAGGAAGCCACGGCUAACUACGUGCCAGCAGCCGCGGUAAUACGUAGGUGGCAAGCGUUGUCCGGAUUUACUGGGCGUAAAGGAUGCGUAGGCGGAUAUUUAAGUGAGAUGUGAAAUUCCCGGGCUUAACUUGGGAGCUGCAUUUCAAACUGGAUAUCUAGAGUGUGGGAGAGGAGAAUGGAAUUCCUAGUGUAGCGGUGAAAUGCGUAGAGAUUAGGAAGAACACCAGUGGCGAAGGCGAUUCUCUGGACCAUAACUGACGCUGAGGCAUGAAAGCGUGGGUAGCAAACAGGAUUAGAUACCCUGGUAGUCCACGCCGUAAACGAUGAGUACUAGGUGUAGGGGGGUCCAACCUUCUGUGCCGCAGUUAACACAAUAAGUACUCCGCCUGGGAAGUACGAUCGCAAGAUUAAAACUCAAAGGAAUUGACGG